rnacentral:rRNA from 1 species
UUUGACCUCAAAUCAGGUAGGGUUACCCGCUGAACUUAAGCAUAUCAAUAAGCGGAGGAAAAGAAACUAACAAGGAUUCCCCUAGUAACUGCGAGUGAAGCGGGAAAAGCUCAAAUUUAAAAUCUGGCGGUCUUUGGCCGUCCGAGUUGUAGUCUGGAGAAGUGCUUUCCGCGCUGGACCGUGUACAAGUCUCUUGGAACAGAGCGUCAUAGAGGGUGAGAAUCCCGUCUUUGACACGGACUACCAGUGCUUUGUGAUGCGCUCUCAAAGAGUCGAGUUGUUUGGGAAUGCAGCUCAAAAUGGGUGGUAAAUUCCAUCUAAAGCUAAAUAUUGGCGAGAGACCGAUAGCGAACAAGUACCGUGAGGGAAAGAUGAAAAGCACUUUGGAAAGAGAGUUAAACAGUACGUGAAAUUGCUGAAAGGGAAACGCUUGAAGUCAGUCGCGUUGGCCAGGACUCAGCCUUGCUUUUUGGCUUGGUGCAUUUUCUGGUUGACGGGCCAGCAUCGAUUUUGACUGUCGGAAAAAGGCUGGGGGAAUGUGGCACCUUCGGGUGUGUUAUAGCUCUCAGUCACAUACGGCAGUUGGGAUCGAGGACCGCAGCACGCCUUUAUGGCCGGGGUUCGCCCACGUUCGUGCUUAGGAUGCUGGCGUAAUGGCUUUAAACGACCCGUCUUGAAACACGGACCAAGGAGUCUAACAUGCCUGCGAGUGUUUGGGUGGAAAACCCGAGCGCGUAAUGAAAGUGAAAGUUGAGAUCCCUGUCGUGGGGAGCAUCGACGCCCGGACCUGAACUUCGGUGAUGGCUCUGCGGUAGAGCAUGUAUGUUGGGACCCGAAAGAUGGUGAACUAUGCCUGAAUAGGGUGAAGCCAGAGGAAACUCUGGUGGAGGCUCGUAGCGAUUCUGACGUGCAAAUCGAUCGUCAAAUUUGGGUAUAGGGGCGAAAGACUAAUCGAACCAUCUAGUAGCUGGUUCCUGCCGAAGUUUCCCUCAGGAUAGCAGAAACUCGUAUCAGAUUUAUGUGGUAAAGCGAAUGAUUAGAGGCCUUGGGGUUGAAACAACCUUAACCUAUUCUCAAACUUUAAAUAUGUAAGA